GUGACUGCAUUCAGCUAAGAUGGCGCUGAAGCAAUUGCAUAGAAAACCUUAUCUGCCUACAACAAAGAUAGCUGACAGUCACAGAACUGACCCCAAACAAGACGGUGCUGAGAGUCACCUGUUAUAACUUAGAAUGGAGGAGCCGAGACAAACAUAUAGAGAAAUUUAAGCAGUGUGGUGCAAGAGGUGUGAGGGGCGGCUUGGGGGCCGGUGGUAGCCCAGGGAAGCCUCGCCUGAUGAAGUCAGUCCGUGAUGUAAGGAGUUCCUCAGAAUCAACAAGUAGCCCUGGAUGAAGGAGGCAGACCGAGGCGGCUGCCAGAUCCCUGAGGAUGUUGGCUCCUCAGCCUGCGAGAUUCUUUCUCUACAACAUUUCUCAAAGUACUUCUCUGUGACGGUUCCCUUCUGACUGAAGUGCUACGCUCCUGCCUUAUUUCCUUCAGAGUUAAGUCCUGCUGCCUGAAGCGCUCGCUGUAGAGGACUACGGACUGAUGAUUCUGUGCCUGCUUCUCUACCCUCACUGCUCAGCAGCCCUCCUUUCUGGCCUCAAUGACUGUGUACAGAACCGAGUGUGGAUCGCUGCCACUCGCUGGUGAAGGAAGAAGGCCACUGCCGAGCUCUCUGCCACCCGCGACUCUUGACUUGACUGUCCCCACCAGCUCUUCAAGAGAUUUGAACGUGGACGACUUCUUCAUGUCUCCAAGCUUCCUGCAGAUGGCAGAACCCAUCGAGGCCAGGGCAGUUGAAGUCUUCUGCUUCAUGUAGGUGUUGGAGGCCUGAACAUCAUGCCAGCUCUUGGACAGAUUCUGCCUCAGUCCCACCAAGGCCACGCAGCCUAACUUCCUCUUGAGUUCGCCACACCGCUUCUCUUUGGCUGCGAGCAGGUCACGCAAGCUUAAGAUCUCUUCCUCCAAUUUAGUAAGCUCAGAUCUGAGCUCCAUUUGCUCAGCCUCCGUCAGAUCUGGUUCUGAAGCUAGGUGGAAUUCAUUUGUGGAUGCAGAGGUCUCUGUCAUGGCAUCUGAAACAGACAAAGAAAGAUCUUCGUUCAGGGAGUCCAGGUCCAGUUCUUGAUAGACAGAAUCCAGUCCUUGGUUUGAGGAGAAACAGUUAGGGCUGGUGGAGCUAACGUCUAGGCCUGCAGGCUCAGACUUCUGGCCAGAGGGAUGGGACUCGAGGUGAGACGGGUCCAUAUCUUGGGCAGCAAAAGUCAGGCACUGGUUGAUAAGUCUACGUCCUGUCGAGAGGAUGGGACGCUUUUGAUGGGGAUCCACUUCCGGGUUGUAGGGGUUGGAUGUGGGCGAGAUGCAAGCCUCAGGGGUGGGACUUCCGGCCCGCAGGGCUGGCGGUCAUUGACACCUAUCUCCAUUUCUGACUGCUCUAUGGAUGUGUUCCAGGAGAUUGUUUCUGUAUCACAAGGACCUUGUGAGGCAAGCAGAGUCCGGAUUAUUACUGAGAGACACUUCUUUUCCUCUAGCAGCAAUGACCCAGGCCAAGUGUUCACACCAAAUUAUCUGGCGCCCCAGACAAUCAGGAUGUUAACCCGGGGAGGGCCUGUGUCAGGUGUCAUAUAGAUCCUUGUUCGGCUGCCUGUUCCCAGGGAGUACCCUUGGUGAACUCUUAGACUCAGUGAUCUUCUUGGAUAUUCUAGUCGUCCUUGCAAGCUUUACAUUGUGGAAUACAACACAACCCUCCACACACCUCAGGAACUUGCUAUACUCACGUCUGUGUGUCUGCAUCUAAGGCAACUUCAGUCCUCUUUCAACCCUUUCUCACAACCCAGUAGUGCUUAUUGUUGUAUUAGCUCAGAGGUAAUUAUAAAUUAUAGUUUAUAUAUUAUAUAAUUAUAAAAUAAAUAAUAAAUUAAAAAUCAUAAUUGUUCCUAUUGGGAGCAUGAAGGCUGGUGUGGGAUUUGGCUGCAGGUAUGAAGGUGUGAAAAUGAAAAGCAACACCUUCCCAAAUGCCAUUUUGUUCCUGGAUAAACUUUCCCUCCUUUUUGCCUGUUCAAACUCCGGUGGUUUCAAGACUAUGUCCAGACUCUGACCACACUCUGCUUAUUCUCAACUGGUAAUUAACAGGGUUUGUUUGUUUUUUAAAUCCCCUGGAUUAAGUAGCUAGCAUGGAUCACACAUUGAUCCUUUAGAAUGGACAGUUCAAAUUACUGGCUCUAAAUUGCCAUUCGAUUUCCCUUCUUUGGAUUGUUCUGACCACCACCCUGGCUGUCCGUCUCCUUGUAUAUAUGUUCCCCGGCUCUUCAAUUAAAAACAUGAAUUCUU